ensembl:snoRNA SNORA75 Small nucleolar RNA SNORA75
GUCUUCUCACUGAGCUCCUUUCUGUCAAUUGGUGGCAGCUUACGGAUUCGCAAGAGAAGAAGAGACAAUUCACAGAACUAGCAUUAUCUUACCUUCUGUCUUUACAGAGGUAUGUUUGCUGUUUUGUGAGACAUCU